CCAAAUUCAGUCAGGUCGUUCCGUGUAGAAAGGAAGGCAUCAACUGUUACUUUAGAAUCUGUUUCAAAGUCCACAUUAUCAAGCUGCAUAUCACUCAACCAUUGCAAAGCAGAGUGCAGCCCUAAAGCUUCUCCAACAUCCACCGAAACAAUACAAGGAUAUGUAAUAGUCUUAGCCAGUACAAAACUACCUUCCGAGUCGCGA
rnacentral:lncRNA from 1 species